rnacentral:rRNA from 1 species
UACGUAGGGUGCAGGCGUUAAUCGGAAUUACUGGGCGUAAAGCGUGCGCAGGCGGUUUCUUAAGUCAGAUGUGAAAGCCCCGGGCUUAACCUGGGAACUGCGUUUGAAACUGGGAGACUAGAGUGUGGCAGAGGGGGGUGGAAUUCCACGUGUAGCAGUGAAAUGCGUAGAUAUGUGGAGGGACACCGAUGGCGAAGGCAGCCCCCUGGGUUAACACUGACGCUCAUGCACGAAAGCGUGGGGAGCAAACAGG